rnacentral:rRNA from 1 species
AUUGAACGCUGGCGGCAUGCCUUACACAUGCAAGUCGAACGGUAACAGGUCUUCGGAUGCUGACGAGUGGCGAACGGGUGAGUAAUACAUCGGAACGUGCCUAGUAGUGGGGGAUAACUACUCGAAAGAGUGGCUAAUACCGCAUGAGAUCUACGGAUGAAAGCAGGGGAUCGCAAGACCUUGUGCUACUAGAGCGGCCGAUGGCAGAUUAGGUAGUUGGUGGGAUAAAAGCUUACCAAGCCGACGAUCUGUAGCUGGUCUGAGAGGACGAUCAGCCACACUGGGACUGAGACACGGCCCAGACUCCUACGGGAGGCAGCAGUGGGGAAUUUUGGACAAUGGGCGCAAGCCUGAUCCAUCAAUGCCGCGUGCAGGAUGAAGGCCUUCGGGUUGUAAACUGCUUUUGUACGGAACGAAAAGCCCCGGGUUAAUACCCUGGGGUCAUGACGGUACCGUAAGAAUAAGCACCGGCUAACUACGUGCCAGCAGCCGCCGCUG